UACGUAGGGUGCGAGCGUUGUCCGGAAUUAUUGGGCGUAAAGAGCUCGUAGGCGGUUUGUUGCGUCGGCCGUGAAAACCUGCAGCUUAACUGUGGGCCUGCGGCCGAUACGGGCAGACUUGAGUUCGGUAGGGGAGACUGGAAUUCCUGGUGUAGCGGUGAAAUGCGUAGAUAUCAGGAGGAACACCGGUGGCGAAGGCGGGUCUCUGGGCCGAUACUGACGCUGAGGAGCGAAAGCGUGGGGAGCAAACAGG
rnacentral:rRNA from 1 species